rnacentral:rRNA from 1 species
AUUGAACGCUGGCGGCAGGCCUAACACAUGCAAGUCGAGCGGAUGAUGGGAGCUUGCUCCUGGAUUCAGCGGCGGACGGGUGAGUAAUGCCUAGGAAUCUGCCUGGUAGUGGGGGACAACGUUUCGAAAGGAACGCUAAUACCGCAUACGUCCUACGGGAGAAAGCAGGGGACCUUCGGGCCUUGCGCUAUCAGAUGAGCCUAGGUCGGAUUAGCUUGUUGGUGAGGUAAUGGCUCACCAAGGCGACGAUCCGUAACUGGUCUGAGAGGAUGAUCAGGCACACUGGAACUGAGACACGGUCCAGACUCCGACGGGAGGCAGCAGUGGGGAAUAUUGGACAAUGGGCGAAAGCCUGAUCCAGCCAUGCCGCGUGUGUGAAGAAGGUCUUCGGAUUGUAAAGCACUUUAAGUUGGGAGGAAGGGUUGUAGGUUAAUACUCUGCAAUUUUGACGUUACCGACAGAAUAAGCACCGGCUAACUCUGUGCCAGCAGCCGCGGUAAAAC